GCUCACUGGCUCUCCCCCUUGCGGAGACUUGCCCGCGCUGGUGUAGGAGCCGAGCCGAGACAAGCCACUGCCGCUACCGCCGCCGCCAGUCCCUGGACUAGCGCGAAGGAAGAAGCAGCGCGCGGGUUCCAAGGAGCGAAAUGAGAAGGGUUGAAGAAGGCUGCCGGGAGGGUGGCCGGCUCGCUUCUACCGGCCGGUUAUUUUUGUUUAUAGUCUUUUCUUUCUUCUCUCGUGCCCGCUUGCGCCUCCCAUUUCUUCUCCCUUCUCGUCUUUAAGGGCUUUUUUUUUUUUUGGAGGGGGGGAAGGCUGCUUUUCGUUGGGAAGAGUGGUAUGUGCGCGCCUCUCGCUGCCUCCCUCGCCGCCCCGGGGAAGAAGGAAGUCAGAUGCUGAGUUCAUGAAACUGCUUUCUGUGCUGUGGCUGAUGAUAUCAUAAAUGCUCAGAGCUGUGCUGGGAGCAAUAUCGUGAAACCAGUUCACCUUCAUUAGCCCACCAGGAAUCCAGGAAGCAGAGGGAAUAGGGUAUGGUAUUGUCAACCCUAAACAUCCAGAAAUGAUCAUUUAGGCUCCAAAAAAAGAAGCAAUGAAUAUAAUGGGACGACUUGCUGCCUCAGAACUAAAAUGUCAAUAGGAUCUUCUCUGUUUUUUGUUUCUCCUUCCACUGCUGUUCUCACUGCUCAUAACAUCAUUUUAUUAUCAAAGAAUGGUAGAGAAAAGUGGAGCAAAGCUAAUAGUCUUUCUCUUGUAGUCUCUCUGGAUGUAGUCUUUUCAUAAGUGUCUUGAACUUGACCUCUUUUGAACGACACAAAGGUCCAACACACAUUUUGAAAAGUUAUAUUUAAAUUUUAAUGUUUUUUUUUAAUUCUGCAAGCUAUUUAAUAACACACUCUCAAAACACAGAGCAUAAAUCUUUCAGGGUGGUCAUAGAAUAGAAAUUGAUGGACAAAGCAGAGAAGCUUAGCAAAUGCCCUGAAGCAGCUUUCUUUCUUUUACAUAGAAACCUACUACAGAUGAAUGUUCACAAGAUUUUUUAAAAAGCUUUAUUAUGAUUUAAUCAUCAUGGUGCUGAUACUAAAAAUAUAAUUUAGUAAAGAAUGGAGUUUGCUUUUUCAAUACCCCACCCCUCAUUAUAAAAAUGUUCUUUGUAGUGAGGCAAUGGGGGCAUUAGAAAGAUUUACAGUAACAAUAUAAGUGACUAUAAUGAACUUGGGAACAAGGGAGUAUUGUUAUGAUAGAGAUCUUCUAGCAUUUCUAUCAGCACAAAUAUUGAGGGACCCAAUCUCCUUUCUGUGUAUCUGUAUAUUAAUAUUAACAUGAACAGUAAUUACAGGUACUUGGGAUAAAGUUUAUUUAUGAGAACAUAAUACUUAAAGGUAAGAGCUGUAAAAAUUAAAGACAUCUACCUAUAACAAAACCAUUAUCAACCAUGGUUCUUCUGCAAUAUUUCAAUUAUGUUUAUUCAUGAUAUCUCAGCAUCUUCAUAUUUCACUAAUAAUAUUAAUAUAAUUUUGCCAACUUUAUUUCAGCUCCCAAUAUAGCUAAGCUUGGGGACUUGUCCUUAUUUAUUGAAGGACAAAACUGGCCACUUCAUCAUUUGUGUAACUAAAAACCUCUCAAAUCCUGCUGGUACAGCAUUGAUCCUUUGCAAGUCUUAUUAAAUGAAAAGUUGGUAACCUACAUUGAAGGUUUUGUUUCCUACCCUCCAAGUUUUACCUUAAAAAAUUUACAUCGUGCUGUUUUAUCUUUUUAAGUAGAAGAGCCUGUUCCUACAUGUCAGUGUUUCAGUGCAAUCACGAACAAAAUCAUCACCAAGCUUUGAUUUAAGAAAAAAGGAUAAGCAAGGAUAAUAUCCAGAUAGCAUUUUUACAAUACCAUAUGAGAAUUUUCCAGUUAAUACUUCAAAUUCAGAUAGCCUCAGAAAAUACCAUAAGAUAAAAUGGUUAUCUAAUUAUCUACAGACUGCCCCAUUCUCACCUGUUAAUUGUUUCAAACAAGCAAAUGAUGGAAGCAACUGUGAUAAAAUUUGACCAGUUUUUAAGAGUUAUCAUGGCAUAUGUGACCAGAAUUUGUGAAAAUUUUAAAGGAUGGAUUCAUCAUGAACACACUGCAAUC